rnacentral:rRNA from 1 species
UCCCGGCGCCACAAGUGGCAAUCGCCUUUAUUGGGCCUAAAGCGUCCGUAGCAGGUUUUGUAAAUCUCUUGUGAAAGCGUUGCACUCAAUGUAACGAACUGCAAGAGACACUGCAAAACUAGGAACCGGGAGGAGGUAGGGGUAUUCUUGGGGGAGCGGUAAAAUGUUAUAAUCCCAAGAGGACCACCUGUGGCGAAGGCGCCUACCUAGAACGGAUUCGACUGUGAGGGACGAAAGCUAGGGGAGCAAUCCGG